rnacentral:lncRNA from 1 species
UUAAAUGACAGCAGUAUAAUUGAACUAAAUAAGAACUAAAUAAGACUUAAAACAAGGCCAAAAAUCUCAAAAUAUCCUGGGGGACGGUGCCCCCAACCUUACCCCAACUCUGUCCCCACUAGUGACUGUUAACCCUCAGCAUGGGCAUACAGGAAGGAAAAAAUUAGGUGGGCGGAAAGAAAUUUGCCUGACUUUUUCGGAUUGUGCCAGAGUUGUCAAAAAAAAAUUUCCAGAGAAACUUUCCGAAAUUGUUGUCAACAGGGGGGGGGAGGAUGCUACGAAAAAUUCCUAUCAGAUAGCAUAUUUCCCACAAAAUUGACAGAAUAAUAAGCCAAUACUGCCCAACUGGCUUUGUUUGCCCAACAAACUGGGGGGGGGGCACACCCC